GAAGUUUUGGUUUCAUUUCAGAGAAAGCAGAGAGAGUAAAGAUAAAAGCCAUUGACAGAGCAUAUGAUCUAAUGUUUAGGGAGAAAUGGAAACCAAAUAAAGAAGAAAGAAAAUUCAAUAAGAAGAAAUUGAAGAGGAGGUAUUAAAAAUGAAAGAAAACAGGCAAUUGAGAAUAGUGGUCUGCACCAUUAGUCCUCGCUGUUGGCUGAGUUCUAAGCUUCAGCAAGGGUUCCUGUGGUCCUCUCAUUAGCCAUACUGCAGCCAGGGAAAUGACAGCCACAGAAGUACUGAAGAUUGGUAAGAAAAGGGCAAAACAAAAGAAGUCUAUGAGUUGUUGAAUAGUCCUGUAAAAGUCU
rnacentral:lncRNA from 1 species